UGGGGAAUAUUGCACAAUGGGCGAAAGCCUGAUGCAGCAACGCCGCGUGAAGGAAGAAGGUCUUCGGAUCGUAAACUUCUGUCCUUGGGGAAGAUAAUGACGGUACCCUUGGAGGAAGCCCCGGCUAACUACGUGCCAGCAGCCGCGGUAAUACGUAGGGGGCAAGCGUUAUCCGGAAUUAUUGGGCGUAAAGGGUGCGUAGGUGGUAACCUAAGCAGGGGGUGAAAGGCAAAGGCUCAACCAUUGUCAGCCCCCUGAACUGGGCUACUUGAGUGCAGGAGAGGAAAGCGGAAUUCCUAGUGUAGCGGUGAAAUGCGUAGAUAUUAGGAGGAACACCAGUGGCGAAGGCGGCUUUCUGGACUGUUACUGACACUGAGGCACGAAAGUGUGGGGAGCAAACAGGAUUAGAUACCCUGGUAGU
rnacentral:rRNA from 1 species